AUUGAACGCUGGCGGCAGGCCUAACACAUGCAAGUCGAGCGAGCGGCGGACGGGUGAGUAAUGGCUGGGAAACUGCCUGAUGGAGGGGGAUAACUACGGGAAACGGUAGCUAAUACCGCAUACCAUCAGAUGUGCCCAGAUGGGAUUAGCUAGUAGGUGGGGUAACGGCUCACCUAGGCGACGAUCCCGAGCUGGUCUGAUAGGAUGACCAACCACACUGGCACUGAGACACGGUCCAGACUCCUACGGUAGGCAGCAGUGGGGAAUAUUGCACAAUGGGCCAAAGACUGAUGCAGCCAUGCCGCGUGUGUGAAGAAGUCAUUCGGGUUGGAAAGCCCUUUCAGCGGGGAGGCGUUACCCGCAGAAGAAGCACCGGCUAACUCCGUGCCAGCAGCCGCGGUAAUAC
rnacentral:rRNA from 1 species